rnacentral:rRNA from 1 species
CUGGCGGCGUGCCUAACACAUGCAAGUCGAACGAGAAAGUGGAGCAAUCCAUGAGUAAAGUGGCGACCGGGUGAGUAACACGUGACUAACCUACCCUCGAGUGGGGAAUAACUCCGGGAAACCGGGGCUAAUACCGCAUAACAUCGCAAGAUCAAAGCAGCAAUGCGCUUGAGGAGGGGGUCGCGGCUGAUUAGCUAGUUGGCGGGGUAACGGCCCACCAAGGCGAAGAUCGGUAUCCGGCCUGAGAGGGCGCACGGACACACUGGAACUGAAACACGGUCCAGACUCCUACGGGAGGCAGCAGUGGGGAAUUUUGCGCAAUGGGGGAAACCCUGACGCAGCAACGCCGCGUGGAGGAUGAAGCCCUUUGGGGCGUAAACUCCUUUCGACUCGGACGAUAAUGACGGUACGAGUGGAAGAAGCACCGGCUAACUCUGUGCCAGCAGCCGCGGUAAUACAGAGGGUGCGAGCGUUGUUCGGAAUUAUUGGGCGUAAAGGGCGCGUANGCGGUGCGGUAAGUCACCUGUGAAAUCUCC